GUCCACCAUUUUACAUGCCCGAGGUUCGCGCAUGCGUAUAGUGCUGUCCACCGUGGCACUGCAGAUUAAAAUGCGUAAAAGUUUAAAAUCAGGUUUAUAAAUAAUUUGCCAUGGUGAGGUGUUGUUUUUGUGGAAGCAUUCACAAAAAAAAUGAUAGACGAACAUAUCAUAAGUUUCCUUUAUCAGAUAAAUUCUUAUUGGAACAAUGGGUCAACAAUAUACCAUUGAAACAUUGGAAACCUACCUAUGAAAGUUUAUUGUGUUCAGAUCAUUUUACUGAAGACUGUUUUGAUAGAUCUGAAUUUAGAGUACGCUUGAAGCUUAAUAGUGUUCCAACUUAUUUUGGAGAUUCCCCGGCAGUCUGUACAAUAUGCAAGCGCGAACGUUCAUAUCAAUCUCCUUAUUCAUUCUUCAGGUUUCCUUUGGAGAAACAAGAACUCCUCAACAAAUGGUUGAAAAAUAUAAAUAUGUUAAAUUGGAAGCCUACUGAAAGUAGUCGUUUGUGUUCAAGUCAUUUUGAAGCAUCUUAUUUGAGAAAAGUACAAGGGAAAUAUUGGGCAUUGAAGGAAAACAGUAUUCCAACAAUAUUAAAUUCUCCUAAUAUUCUUGAUUCGACUGAAUUACUUGCUUCUAAGGAAAAUAGUCCACCUUCAACAAGCAACAUUAUGAAUUCACAUUCAUCGCACAAUGUGUUGACCAAUCCAAUUCUUGUUAACGAGGCAAGAAAAGAAAGCUGUCAUGAUGUUAGCAACAUAAUUAUGAAGACACUUGACAAUUCUGAUGAUGUGGAAAUGGUAUCAACGUCCAUACAAUUCGACUCAAUAGCAUCUCCAGUGUGCAAAUCUCAGCAGAUUGUAGAUCAUGAUCAUCAAUAUGAAAGUCUUUCCACAAUAUUGCGUCGUAGACUAUUUGAAUGUGAACAAAAGUUGAAAGAAAAGGAAAAGAUCAUCAAGAUACAGAAAAGGAAAUUUAAUCAGCUGCAGAAAAAAGCAUCAUAUUUCCGAGACGUGAUCAAUGAGCUUCGUAGAUCUGUCAAGGUUCAAGUUUCUGAAGCUUGUUUACGUUCUCUGGAAUCUAUAGACGAUUCAGAUGGGUCUAAUGAAUAUUUUGCAACUGUUCGAAAAUGGGAGUGUCCCGUUUGCCCACGUCCCGAUUGACCACUGCCAAUCAUAUCGACCUGUGCCUAUGGUAACCAGCAACGAUUAACCAAUCAGAGAAUCCUAUUUUGAAUUGGCCAAUUGGCGACGUGGGUAAUCGAAUCCCGUUCUUCGAAAAUUGGGUAACUGUUAUCCCUCAACUUCAAAUGACCAACAGUUUGAGCUGUACAAAGUGAUCUUCUAGUGAUAUCAAGGCAUAAUUUGUGAUUAUUUAAGUUUUUUAUAUUGCACAUAACAAUAUCAAUUUCUUAAUUUUAAGUUUUUUUAUAAUCAAUGGAUAACAUUCUCUAC